rnacentral:lncRNA from 1 species
GGCGGUUGAAUUAUUCUUCUUCAUCGGAGGAGCUCGUUUCCAUUCUCGCCUGAACCUUCGGGGUGCUAUGGCGCUCUCCUGUGCAGGAGACGGGCGAGGACGACGUCCAGAGCUCCGUCGAAGGAUUGAGGCCCUGCAAGAGGCCAGCUUGAGAACCCUACAAAAGAAGCAACUGCCCCCCCGGGUGUCUGCGUCUGGGUCGGAGCGCCGCCCCUUUGGAGGGGAACUCUGUAGCGGAGGACGCGGACCUGAUUUGCCUGUAAGUAGCCGCCGCCGCCGCCGCCGCUGGUGGGCUCGCUCCCUGAUACGCGCGGUGUGUGUCUGUGUAUGGACCCUCUGGACCGUGGCUCUGUAACCUAGCCUCCGUGUACAUUUCAGCUGAAUAAUUCUUGUAGAAUAUGACCAUCUGACGCUGCUAGUCAGGUGAAUCUUGUAACCAUGUUUCCUUCCUUGUUCC